ACCUCCUGGGUCCUGUCUUCCCAUGCUAUCUUAUAAUCUCAGAUGACUGAUAAAUUUUGUCUUAUAUGUUUUAUCUACAAAAACAGAUUCAACCUCUGGUGGCCACCCUCUCUUCAACACUGGUACCUCUCCCUGCUGGUAUAACCAUACUCUCAGAAGAGUACAAGAGUUUCCCCACAGAAGAAGACCAAAGACCAAACGAUCCUCAAGGAACUGUUUCAAGAACUUAAAUAAUGGAAGUGGAUUUGAUUGGUGCAAAAGAUGAAUUGUAGUGCACUACCAAGAAUCUG